GUCAGCGCACCUAAUACAUCCAAAAAUACCUUAAACAAGGUUCGCACCUUGGUUUAUUACACCAUUCUGAUUUAAUUUUUUGCUAUUAUUCAUAAGGAUUUUCUUAAAAAACUUGUAAGGUCCCUCAAUGGACAUGCUCUUAGAGCUCGCCAUCUACUUGUCGUGUCGAGAGACAAGGUCGGUGGUGCUUCAAAUCGACGGUUUUUCCCGGAUCAAGGUAUGAGAUUUCUCCUCCUGUGGCUUAUCCUUGUUUUUCUCACUAGAGGACGGUGAUUUAAUUUAGUGUGGAUUUCACGGUGGUGUUGUAGCAGAUUCAUGUCCUUCGCAAUGGCUCUCGUCUCCCUUGUUACUGGCUUUCUUUAGUCUUCAUCUUAGUUAAGACGGAAUAUUACUAGUUUCAUUGUAGAUUGUGCCUUGUGUGCGCUUCGUUUCGAUUGCGGGUGGUUCCAUUAGAGAGUGAUGAUCUGUUUAGUUUUCAAUUGGUAAUGAAAUGAUGAACUUAGAGGAAAAUUUUAUUUUGAAUUGUUUUAUGAGUACAUUUUUGGGUUGUUACUUCCAUAACUCAUUGUAAGACAUGAACACAACUGCUAUAAGGAAUCCACAAGAGCAACCUAUGGCUGCUGCAUUCCAUGAAAAAAUUGUUUCUUCUUCUUCUUUGUCUUCUUCUUCUUUUUCCUCAGCUGGCUGCUUGGUCUGUGUAGGAAAGCAUGGUACUUGGAUUUGCAUUCCACAGAUUCCGCUGUUGUUCGCGUAAAUGUUUGGAUUGUUCAAUCUGUCUAGCUGAGGACUUUCAGGGAUUCUACCUUUAAGCUUGUUGUUACGCAAAUCCAAUGUAUUCAGCUCGCUUAGCUUGGAUAACGUUUUCGGGAUUUCGCCAGUGAGGUUGUUGUGUGAAAGGUCUAAGCUCUCUACCUUCUCAAGAUCUCCAAAACUUUGUGGGAUCAAUCCAGAGAACUCGUUGUUGGAAAGAUUUAAAACCUUUAGGCUUUUGAGAUUGCCUAAAGAAGUUGGGAUUUCUCCGUGUAGCUUGUUCUUGGAGAGAUCUAAGAGAGUGUAGAGGAGCUGAAAUAGGGACGGAUAGUCAUAGCUGAGGGCUCAGGAGAUUUUAUCAUGCAUGUAAGAUUCCCAAGAGAUGAAGGGAGAUAUCCAUCAAGAUUGUUCUCAGAGAGAUCCAAGACCUUAAGGCUUGUGAGAUUUGAUAUGCCUUCUGGGAUUGAACCUUUGAGGGAAUUGUUUCUCAGGCUAAGAACCUCUACAGAAGAAGAUAACUGGGAGAUUAAACUCGCGACUGUUCCAGAGAUUUUGUUGUCAUGGAGAUCAAGACGGAUCAGAUAUGAAAGAUUUCUGAAGUUCUGAGGAAAUUCGCCGCUGAAAUUGUUCUGACUCAUUAAGAGCAUACUGGUGGAUCCUCCAAAGUAAGCUGGAACAUCCCCAGAGAACUCGUUCGAAGAUAUAUCGAGCCACUCAAGGUAUGACUCGGGGCGGAACCUCGGGAAUUCACCUGAUAAUCGAUUCUUUGACAAGUCCAACAACUUGAGAAAGGGGAUCUUUGUAAUAGACUUUGGUACUGAUCCUGAGAAGUUGUUUUCAGACAACAUGAGUACCAUGACCUGUGAUUCGCCAAUCGUAUCAGGGAUCUGACCAGAAAAGUUGUUCCUUGAUAGUACAAGAUAGUAUAAGCUCGGACGCUGAAACAAAUUUGGAGGCAGUGAGCCUGUGAGUCUGUUGUCUGACAAAGUUAUGUUUCUGAUUUUCAGAUCAGCUAGCCAUUUUGGGAAUCUUCCUUCGAGUCUGUUAAUGCUCAAAUCCAAGUAAACAAGAGCUGUUUGAUUCUUGAGCCAAUCCGGAAUAUUCCCUUCUAAGCCACAAGAUCUAAGUGACAGAUGUGUUAACUUAAACUGUGGAAAGACAUAACCAUUAUUGUUCCAUUGGAGUUUGUUGUUUCCUUCAAGCCGUAGUACCUUCAGCUUCUGAAGACCAAACAACCAAGCUGCGGGAAUCUCACCUGACAAGCCAUUGUUAUUCUCAAGCUGAAGGGUUUCAAGAUUUUUCAGAUUAUGAAUCGACGAUGGAAUUCCACCCGACAACUUGUUCAUGCUCAAGGACAGAGUUGAUAGAUUGACCAAGUUUCCAAUAUCAUCUGGAAUCUUAGAAGACAAGAAAUUGUUCUGAAGAUCUAUCGUUUUGAGCUUCGUUAACCGUGAUACAGACGACGGUAUGGAACUAUUGAACAUGUUCUGCCUCAAGGUCAGCGUCAGUAGUUCGACAAGACUACCUUGCAACAUUUUAAAAGAUUCUUGAGCUCUUUGAUGUCACCACUCAACGUACCGCCAAUAACAUUCCUGCUUAAAUCAAGACGCUGAAGAUUUGUCAAGGAGAACAAUUCAUGAGGAAUUGAGCCGUUAAAUCUAUUACAACACAUGUCAAGAGAAAUCAAGCUGGUCAAGUUCACAAACGCAUAUCCAGGAAUCUCUCCUUGUAUGUUGUUAAAUGAGACAUCAAGCCCAACAAGAGAGUUUAUACGCAGAAUCGGUCUCAAAAUGCUUGAACUAACUAAGCCAGGGGGGAUGAGCAAGAAUAGAUUCAGGUCUAUCACUUCUUUGGAAGGCGAACUAGCGUUACAUGUCACGCGUAGCCAUUUGCAGCAAUCUGAGUUUGGCCUCCAUGUCCCUAAUUCUUCAAAGGCUGUGUAGUUGUCCUUGAUGUUGUGAAUCAGCAAGUUCUUGAACUCGAGAAGGGAUUGUCUUUGAUCUUGUGGACAAGAGAAAGAUAGUUGUGGUAUGAAGAAGCAGAAGAAGAGGAAGCAGGAGAGAAGACAUUGCUUCGACAUUUUGCUUUUUGCCCCUUACUGUUCUUCUUUUGUCAUCCAAGUUUUUGGUUAAAAACCAAAUCCGAACAAAUCAACAAAGUUGACUCUGGUAGGGUCUCUCACUCUCGUAGCGUUUAAGUAAAUUGUUGAAAUUUCAUCAUUGUUGACUUGAAACCAUUGACUCCAACUACUUUACAAGUCCGGAAGUAUUUAAUACUAGCUAAAAAAAUCGGAGUAUUAAUUUUGUAUUAGAUUUUCGUAAAUUUGAAAGUGUUCGAAC
rnacentral:lncRNA from 1 species